UUUUUUUGAAAUUGUGAGCAUUUUGAUUACAAAAAAAAAGUUUUUUAAAAUAAUGUUAUGCGAACUGAUAUCUGGAACGUAUUAUAUAAAACGGGCAAGUGCGCGAAUAUAGUACAUGGUUAAAGUGUGUUUUUCAAGUGUUACGCUAUGAAAAAAAUUGAAAACCAACGUCCAGGAAAAAUUUGGAAUUCCGAAAUGCGCCGUUCAAAUGUAGAUUUCUUGGGAAGAUGUCCCCUGCGAUUGGAUGGACGAAGAAAACGGCGUCAAAUAUCUGGAAAAGGGUGAGUUUCUUUCACGCUAUGAUUCUAAAGGGAUGAAAUUUGAAGUUACUCCAAAUGCUUAAAAGGCAGCGUAUUAAUAUUGAAUGUAAAGGAAAAGUAGGAUAACCCGAUAUUCUGCGAGAUUUUUCAGAAAAUUUGUAAAAAGUAGCUUUAUUUGGAGAAUGGAAUGUAUGAGCUUUACAAAAUCACGUAUCCUUAGUAAUACGAUCUCCUACAAUAAAAUACAAUAAAAUUAAAAAAGUGAAGGAAAACUAAAAGAAAAAAAGCAUUAUUCGGCGGUUUCUCUGGGCAAUGUUGACUCUAGAACUACGAAACUAUAUAUAUAUCUAUCUUCUAUAUUUUAAUAUGAAAAUCAAGUAACACACGUCAACAACGUAUGUUAUAACAUUCAAAAUACAAAAUGAAACUAGUUCACUUGGGCUCUCAUAGCGCAACAGUUUUUUAAAGCAAGGUGAUGUUUUAUCUGGCAUAUUAUUAUAUUUUUGGACAUUUUUAGUAAAUAU